AUGCUGUCCACGCUCAGGAGGAAGCUUGGCAGAAUGCCCGUCAAACUAGUCGGCAUUGAUGUCGAGUACACGCACUACGUGAAGCCACAGCCAAUGGAACUAGACAAAUUCCUCAUGAAUGGUGAGUACACCUUCGUCGCAUUCGCCAUUGAAGGAGACAAAAGCAAGCUGAAGCUAUCUGGUUUGGAGAUCAACUCCGACAAUUACAUUGAUAUUCAGGUGGAAUGGAGAGACCUAUACAAUAAAGAAGUUUGA
rnacentral:rRNA from 1 species